rnacentral:rRNA from 1 species
UAAUACGUAGGGGGCAAGCGUUGUCCGGAAUCAUUGGGCGUAAAGAGCGUGUAGGCGGCCUGCAUAGUCUGGUGUGAAAUCUCGGGGCUCAACCCCGAGCGGUCACUGGAUACUGGCAGGCUUGAGUCCGGAAGAGGAGUGUGGAAUUCCUGGUGUAGCGGUGGAAUGCGCAGAUAUCAGGAGGAACACCUAUGGCGAAGGCAGCACUCUGGUACGUGACUGACGCUGAGACGCGAAAGCGUGGGGAGCAAACAGGAUUAGAUACCCUGGUAGUCCACGCCGUAAACGAUGGAGGCUAGGUGUAGGCGGUGUCGAUUCCGUCUGUGCCGAAGCUAACGCAUUAAGCCUCCCGCCUGGGGAGUACGGCCGCAAGGCUA